GCUGGGCAUGGUGGCGUAUGCCUGUAAUCGCAGCAGUUCAGGAGGCUGAGGCAGGAGGAUGGUGAGUUCUAAGCCCCACUCAGCAACUUAGCAAGGCCCUAAACAACCCGGUGAGACCCUGUCUCUA
rnacentral:sRNA from 1 species